GGCGCCGUGGCCAAGUGGCUAAGGCAGUGGAUUGCAAAUCCACCAUCGCCGGUUCGAAUCCGGCCGGCGCCUC
rnacentral:tRNA from 4 species